UUUUCUGGUGUGUUCACCCUGUCUUUGUGUGAAAACAGUCAUCCAACCCUGGAAAUAGGACCUUCAGGAGUAAGACGUGGCUCAAGCUCAUCUUCCCCUCUGCCUCUCAGUUAUAAAAAGUUCUUAUCAGAACUGAUUCCUAUUUAGUCUCUGCAAAUUCUGUUGCAGCGUGGCUUUUUUAUCCGUAGGCCCCCUUUUCCUCUUUUCUUUCUUUUUUUUUUUUUUUUUUUGUUAAUCAAUGAGAGCUUGUUUUGUUGCUCAGGUUGGCCUUGAACUCAUAGCGCCAGGACAACUGGCCGGAGCCACUGCAGCUCCCUCCUCUUUUCUUUUUAAUCGGCUCAGGGAGACCAUCUUAUGUUACUCAGACAAGAUUGUCAGAAACAGAUACAGGUUUAUCUGGUGACAAAAUGAGUGAUCCUUUUGAAAAGCUAGAUGAUGGCUUCUCUAGUUAGGUUUCUGAGACAAAUAUGAAAGUCGUGAUCAUUUUUUGAAAUUUAAUUUUUAAUUGACAUCUAAUUAUUAUACAUAUUCAUAGGGUACAUAGUGAUGUUUGAAUAUAUAUAAGGUAUAGUGAUCAGAUGGGGGAGUUAGCAUAUUUAUCAUGUCAAAUAUUUAUCAUUUCUUUGUGUUGGGAACAUUCAGUCUCUUCCUUCCAGCUAUUUGAAACUGUAUUUAUUGCUAGCUAUCAUCAUCCUGCACUGGGACAGAACACUAGAACCUAUUCCUCCUAUCUAGCUGUAAAUUUGUAUCCUUCCACAAAUCUCUCCCUAUCCUUCCCUUCUCCUGCCCCUCCCAGACUCAGGAUCCUCUCUUCUACCUCUUACUUCUGUGAGAUCAACUAAAAGUUGUAAUUUCCUGGCCAUCUAUUUGGGCCUAUUUUGGAGAGACUGUAGCUAAUUGUCAACCUUUUAAUUAAUAGUCAAGAAAUCUGAGCUUGUGGAUAAAACUAAGAAAGAAAGAUGUACAAUGUGAGGCCCCAAGACUGAAUGCAAGGAAAAAUAAAAAGAGGAAAGCCGUUGCACAGAGUAUCCCAUGAGUGGGCAUGAACAAGUGUUGACAUACACGCACGGGGGCAUAAUGAGGCCUUCCAGGCCCUGGAAUGUGCAGAUACCUCUGGAGUGCACUCACUGACAGGAGGAUUCAAUCCGUGAAAACAAGCUGGGUUUACUUUGCUGCCAUAGGAGAAAGGUGUGUGUUUCACCAUUUGCCUUAUGGAUCUGAAAAACAUUAAACCAGAUUGGGCAACAAUUUCGAAAAAUUUCCUGAAGUUGACUGAUGACAGGACAUGGAUGUCUGACGUCUGAACUGCCUGGCCAGGACUGGGAAGAGAUGUCAGGAAAGGAGCAGUGAGGGUCCUUCUCUGAUUCUUCUCUCCCUGUCUCCUGUUGAUGCCUUCGUUUGGGGGUGACUGUCUGCAGGGAUAAACUCCUCCUCUUCUUUUCAAACAUUUCGGUCUUUAAAAGUUUUGUUCACCAUCAUUAAAAAUAUCUAUGGAAGCUAAAGAAAAUGUGUAAUGCUAAGGCAGGAAGGACCUAUUGUCCUGGGGUCCUGGGUGAACGGAGAAUGCUGCUGCUUGCCUCUGCGUAGUUUUUCUUACAGGAGAUGUAAUUAAGGUCUCAGCUCCAGUGUCAUCACGGGAGGAUUUUCUGUCCAUCUGCUGGAAGGUUAGCCAGCCUCUGAUCUCACUUACCCUCUAUGACAUCACCCGUCAUUGUUUUCCUCACAGCAUUUAUCAUUGUCUAAAAUGAUACUGUAUUUUUAUUUUUUUGUUUAUCAUCUACCUCCUCCACUAAAAUAGAAACACUGUACGUUCAAGGCUGGCAUCUGUCCUGUUCACCUUGUGUCUCCCGUUUGUAUAAUAGCAUAUCAUAUCAUGAGCACUCAAUGGCUGAAGGAUGAAAGUUUGAAGAGAUUAAGUUAUAACAAAAGCCAAGACUUCUAUGGCUCUUAUCAUAGUAUCCAGGUACUUCUUCAAACACUUUAAACAUAUCAGUUCAUUUCAUUUUGCUGAUAAACACAUGAGGUAGGCACUAGGAUGGUUCUUAUUUACAGAUUAGUAUACUAAGGCACAGAGGAGUUGCCUAAGGUCACACAGUAAUAAAUACUAGAACGACAAUUCAA